rnacentral:lncRNA from 1 species
GAUAGACCGUAACUUGCACAGAUUGACAGUGUAAGUAGCGGCAGGAAAAGGGCAAAAUGAUCGGGAAAAGACAGAACAUAAGAUCCCUGCACCGAAAGAAUGGGGGGUGAAUAGGUUAUUACAUUAAUAAAAGUGGGUCCAAUCUCUUCUUUUACCAAUUCAAGGAAGAGAGAGAGAGAGAGAGAAGUGGGGUCACACUCACACUCUUAGCUGCUAAACCAGCUGAGCUGUGUCUUCUUCAUUCAUAUUCCCUCUUUGUUUUAACCAAAAAGAAAAGAUCUGUACUAUUUCAUCUAUCUGUAUUGGAACCAACUGCUCUCUGCUUCUCUCCUUUUUCUUCAAUCUCGUAUCUGUUUCCUGGACGGGCAAAUAAAGAAGAAAAGAGAAAGUAUAGAUAGGUGACCAUUCGUUUCUCUGAUUUCACUUCAACAAAAGUUCUUUCUUUGAGAUCUAUAUCUGCUGGUACUUUCUUUUUCUUUCUUGCCCAGUUUUAUGGACCCCAAUUUCAAGAUUUUUAACUUUUCUGUUAGUUAUAAUUCGCUUUUUUCUUUUGGGUAGUAAUGGGUUUUGUUCCUUCUUUGCUUAAUACAUCACUGCGUUCUGUCGGUGGAUGUGUUAUUAUAAUUGUUAUUUGGGAAUUCUUUGUUUGUUUGCUGAGAAAAUGUGGGAAAUGUGUAAAUAUGGAAACUUUAUCACUUAACUGUUUUCAGUUCAUGGUAAACUCUAAAUGGUAAUACAAUCACUUUGAUUACUUCGAUAAACAAUUGGGACAAACCAAAACUGAUUGGCUUAGUUAUUUCUUUUUUGUUUUUAUUUUUCCCGCUUGUAGUUGUUCAAUUCUUUUCCUUUUUGGUCACUUUAUCGUGUUAUCUCAAUUCUCUUUUUCACUUAUUUAGAUAUUUCCAGGAAAUUUGCUGCUGUGUACAAUUGUUUCUGUUGCAAUUGAUAAUCCUUGUUAAUUUAUGCUGGUUUGAUUUGGCUUAUAUUUAUCAAAUUUACGUGAUCUAGUGAAAUUAAAAUCCCAAAUUUGAUAUCUUGAUUAGGGAAUGCUANN